ensembl:snRNA U6 U6 spliceosomal RNA
GUGUUCGCUUUGGCAGCACAUAUACUAAAAUUGGAUCGAUACAGAGAAGAUUAGCAAGGCCCCAGCACAAGGAUGUCAUGCAAAUUCAUGAAGCCUUCCAUAUUUUU